GGUAGAAUGGCAGGGAAAAUACCUAAAAGGAAUGCAUUUAGGAACGAUGUCAAAGUCAGCAAUGAUAAAGAAAGCCUGAGGAAUGGUUCCAGAUUAAAAGCUACUAAAGAGACAUGAUAAUUAAGUGCAAUGCAUGAUCCUAGGUUCCACUAGGACAACUGACAAAAUUUGAAUGUAGACUAUAUAUUGGAUAAUAGUGUUGUAUCAAUGCUUAAUUUUCUGAUUUUGAUAACUUUAUUGUGGUUAUGAAAGAGAAUGCACUUGUUUUUAGGAAACACUAAAGCGUUUAGUGGUAAGGGCAUAGUGUCUCCAACUCACUCUCAAAUCACUCAGGGAAAACAAAGUGUGUGUGUCUGUGUGUAGAUAGACAGAGAGAUAGAUAGAUAGACAGAUAGAUAGAUAGAAGAAAGCAACUGAGUAUUUGAAAUAUAGGAAUUUCUUAUACUAUACUUUUAACUUUUAUGUAUGGUGCAAAGUAGAUCAGAAAUUUUGUUGAAAGAAAGAGCGGAGGGAGGAGAAAGAGAAAGGGGAAGAGAAAUUGGAAAUAGCAAUUCUUGUGAAUACCUUCACAAUAAAGGAGAAUAAGGAAAUGGGGUGGUAGCUAGUGGGAGAAGUAGGAUCAAGAUGAGGCUGUUGGAUUUUUUUCCUUGAUUGAGAGAAAUACAGUAUGUUGGCUUGCUAGUGAGAAUAUUACAGCAGCAAGAGAAAAAAUAUUGAAUAGAAGAGUGAGGGGGAAAUAGCUGAUGUGAGGUCCUUCCACGAUGGAGGGGAUGAAUCUGAGGACAAGUUGGAGGAUUGGCUUCCUAUGGGAGUAGGGAGCAUUCAUCUGUGACAACAGGCAGAAAAGUGAAGCAUGUGAAUGCAAUUGCCAGAAAGCGAAAAACAGAGGUGAAGGUUCUGAAGGACACCCUCACCUAGAGGGCUUCAGAGGAAGUGGUGUUUUCAGGGGAUAAUCGGGUUUCAAUUAGGAUAAAAAAGUGAAGAAAAAGUCCAGAGAAUAUCCUGAAGAAAUGGCGGAGCAUGUGUUUAAGAAGGCAUAGAGAAGCGUGGGAAAUAAAGUCAAGUUAGUGGAUAUACAAAUAGCUCAAGGUGGAGGGACUGCAUGAUGACAGAUGACCCGGGGACUUGGGAAUUAGUCAAAUAAUGGGCCAUGUCAUCCAAGAUUGACCAGAUAAGAAGAAAGGGCAAGAGCAGUUAAGGGACAAUGAAGAGAAGGAGAGUCACUGGAUGGCAGAUUGUUGGGUUAGAAGAACUGAAAGUGAUCCAGGAAGAUUGGAAGGGACAGCCAAGGAGUGAGAUAGAUACUUAUUAACUGAGAAUAUGAAUCCAGGGCAGUCACAGGUAAUGAUGAGUUUGGACAAUGAGGUGCCUGAGGUGAAGAGGAAGCUUCCACGUGGAUAUUGAAAUCACUAAGAUGAAUGCAUCAAGGAGCAAUGGUGGUUAAUAUAGUCUGAUAUCUUUUUUUUUUCAGGUGAGGACCAUUGUCCCUGAGCUAACAUUUGUGGCAAUCUUCCUCUAUUUUGUGUGUAGGACAUUGCCACAGCAUGACCUGAUGAGCAGUGUGUAGGUCUGGGCCCAGGAUCCGAACCCAGGAUCUGCCCGUGAGCCCUGGGCCACGAAGCAGAGCACAGGAACUUAACCACUAUGCCACCAGGCUUGGCCCUAAUCUGCUAUCUUGAGGUUCAAAAGAGCUGGUUGGUGUGACAUAUAGGAAGACAGGAAGGUGUAGAGGGAGCAAUGAGAAAAAAGGAGAACACUCACUCCAUGGUGUGGGGUGACAGGUGUGAAGAGAAAACAGCCUCAAAGUGAGAGGGCUUCAGGAGAAGCCAGGUCCUGCGGUUUGUUAGGGCUAGAAGAUGAAUAGGUUGAGGAUACAAAAUAUUUUGCUGAUAAUGGUCAUCAGCAUCUAAGAACACAGAGGAGGAUUCGGGCGAUUCAGGAAGGGUGUCAGAUUGGCCCAAUGAAGGAGAUGGACAGAGGCAUAUGGGGAUGAGAGUCCAGUGUGGAAGAAUGGCCUGGGAGCGUUUUGCCUCUUGCAGAAACUGAGGCAAACUGGAGUCAUGGGCUCAGUCCUAAGGAUACACAUAAACACCAGCAGAAUUUUGCAAAUGAACGAGCUCUAUUCACCUAAAACAAAAUAGUUUGAGGGUCAGUAAACUUUUUCUGUAAAAGGCCAGAUAAUAAAUAUUUUAGGUUUUGUGUCCCAAUUAGUCAACUCUGCUGUUGUAAUGCCAAAGCAACAGAUCCAAAAGGUAAAUGAACGAGCACGGUUCUGUUCCAAUGACAUCUUAUGUAUGGUUAUUGAACUUUUAAUUUCAUAUAAUCUUCGAUCAUUUUAAAAUAUAAAAAUCUUUCUUAGCUCAAGUCAGGCAGAGUUCAGAAUGAAGCAAAGAACCAGGCUUGUGAUAAUCUGGAGCAGAGAAUUUCAAACAAGAAAGACCAGUGCAAAAAUCCUGUCAGUGAGCCUGGCACAGUCAUGGACGAACAAGGAGGAUGGUUUGGCUUGAGAGGAAAAGGAAUACAGUUGAGGCAGGAGGGGGAGGUAGAGGCCAGAUCACAAGGUGCCUACUAAGAUAAUCAGGAAUUUGGAUUUUUUUCCCAAGGGAGAUGGGAAGCCAUUGAAGAAAGUGUCAUCUCAUUGACCUUUUUUUUUUUUUUUUUA
ensembl:lncRNA